CUGAUUCAGCGGCGGACGGGUGAGUAAUGCCUAGGAAUCUGCCCGAUAGUGGGGGACAACGUUUCGAAAGGAACGCUAAUACCGCAUACGUCCUACGGGAGAAAGUGGGGGAUCUUCGGACCUCACGCUAUCGGAUGAGCCUAGGUCGGAUUAGCUAGUUGGUGAGGUAAUGGCUCACCAAGGCGACGAUCCGUAACUGGUCUGAGAGGAUGAUCAGUCACACUGGAACUGAGACACGGUCCAGACUCCUACGGGAGGCAGCAGUGGGGAAUAUUGGACAAUGGGCGAAAGCCUGAUCCAGCCAUGCCGCGUGUGUGAAGAAGGUCUUCGGAUUGUAAAGCACUUUAAGUUGGGAGGAAGGGCAGUAAGCUAAUACCUUGCUGUUUUGACGUUACCAACAGAAUAAGCACCGGCUAACUCUGUGCCAGCAGCCGCGGUAAUACAGAGGGUGCAAGCGUUAAUCGGAAUUACUGGGCGUAAAGCGCGCGUAGGUGGUUCAGCAAGUUGGAUGUGAAAUCCCCGGGCUCAACCUGGGAACUGCAUCCAAAACUACUGAGCUAGAGUACGGUAGAGGGUGGUGGAAUUUCCUGUGUAGCGGUG
rnacentral:rRNA from 1 species